UGAACGCUGGCGGCGUGCCUAAUACAUGCAAGUCGAGCGAUGAGGCUCCUUCGGGAGUACAUCAGCGGCGAACGGGUGAGUAACACGUGGGUGACUUGCCCCGAAGAUGGGGAUAACCUCUGGAAACGGGGGCUAAUACCCAAUGUGCUCGGUGAUUCGGUUCAUCGAGUAAAGCUCCGGCGCUUCGGGAGAAGCCUGCGGCCCAUCAGCUAGUUGGUAGGGUAACGGCCUACCAAGGCAGAGACGGGUAGGGGGCGUGAGAGCGCGGACCCCCACACUGGCACUGAGAUACGGGCCAGACUCCUACGGGAGGCAGCAGUAAGGGAUAUUGCGCAAUGGACGAAAGUCAGACGCAGCGACGCCGCGUGGGCGAUGAAGGCCUUCGGGUUGUAAAGCCCUUUUAUGGGGGAAGAGAAAAAGGACGGUACCCCAGGAAUAAGUCCCGGCUAACUACGUGCCAGCAGCCGCGGUAAAACGUAGGGGACAAGCGUUAUCCGGAUUCACUGGGCGUAAAGGGCGUUGAGGCGGUUCCGUAAGUUGGGCGUGAAAGCUCCGGGCUUAACUCGGAGAUGUCGUUCAAUACUGCGGGGCUUGAGGACAGCAGAGGAAGGUGGAAUUCCCGGUGUAGUGGUGAAAUGCGUAGAUAUCGGGAGGAACACCCGUGGCGAAGGCGGCCUUCUGGGCUGUUCCUGGCGCUGAAGGCGAAAGCUAGGGGAGCGAACGGGAUUAGAUACCCCGGUAGUCCUAGCUGUAAACGAUGGAUGCUGGGUGUGGGGGGUGUAAAUUCCCUCUGUGCCGAAGCAAACGCGUUAAGCAUCCCGCCUGGGGACUACGGCCGCAAGGCUAAAACUCAAACGAAUUGACGGGGGCCCGNACAAGCAGCGGAGCGUGUGGUUUAAUUCGAUGCUACACGAAGAACCUUACCUGGGUUUGACAUGCCCGUGGUAGGGAACCGGAAGGGGACCGACCU
rnacentral:rRNA from 1 species